AUCUAAGAGUGAAAAGAAGUAAAAAUGAAAACAAUUACUGUCAGUUUGUACAUUUGCCAGGAGUGGAAUUCUCUAGCAUUCUCAGCACACAGACCUUUCAUUUCCUAGGGAAAUUCUCUGACGAGCUUUGGCACUAGAUUAUCUCUCCAUCAUACUCAAGUGUUCACUACUUUGCCAAAAUAAUCCUGGAUUUUCCUGGGAACUGUCUAGCUUUUUUUUGUUGCGUAAGAAGUACUUUCCUAAUUCUUCAUCCUUGCUGGUCUUCAAAGGAAGUAAGUUAGCAGCACAGUAGAUCUGCAUCUCUCUACCACCUGCCUUCUCUCAGUCUAAGUAGUAUCAUCAACCUACAUCUUAAUGAAAGCCAGAAAUACUUUCAACAACAUAAACUGGCAUCAGAGUAUCAUUUUCAGGCAUGGAGUAUGAACUUUAAUGACUGAAGGUCACCAGCCAUCAAAAACUGUACAAAAUUAAUAGCACGGGGGCAGGUAUGGUGACAAAAGCCUAGCAUUUAAGAGGCUGAGGAUCAAAAGUUGGAGGCCUGAACGAGGGUGGUGGUGCAUGCCUGUAAUCCCAGCACUUGAGAGGCUGAAACAGUAGGAUCUCUGUAAAUUCAAGGCCAGAAUGGACUACAAAGUGAGACCCUGACUCAAAAAAAAAAGUUGGAGGCCAGCCUGGACUAUAUAACCGAGACUGUCUCAAAACAAACAGAAUGAAAGAAAAAAGAUAGUAAUGGAUAGAACACUGUAACCUUUAAUAUUCAUAAAUAUGAAAACCUUAAUACUUUGGUUACUUUGCUGAAGGUAUAGUCAACAAAUGAUAUUUCCUGUCUUUUUAUUUCUUUGAUCCUAGAGAUUGAACCCUGGGGCCUUGCACAUGCUAGCAAGUUCUCUAUCACUGAGCUAACCCUUGGCCCAUUCCUGUGUAUGUUUAUCAUCUACUCUAUUAUUACAUCGCAAGAUAGGGUCUUGCUAUGGUGACCACGUGUGGUGGUGCAACCCUGUAAUGCCAAGCACUGGGGAGGCUGAGGCAGGAGAAUCACCUCGAGUUCGAGGCCAGCCUAGAUUACAUAGUGAGUUCAAUGACAGCCUGGACUACAUACCAAGAUCCCAUCUCAAAAAAAGAAAAAAAAAAAAAAAUAAGAAAUGAAAAAAGCAUAAAAAAGUCUGACAAAGAACAAUUGUAAUAAUUUAAAAACCCACUGAAGAUGGCUUGUCACAAAAAAUGGCAGAAAGACAAAGAUGAACACAAAGCAGUCAAUGAUACACACUGAUAAUAGUUUUUUAAAAAUUAACAACACAGGUCACUUUGUUGAAACAAAGCUACAUGCCUUACCUGAAAUGUGUACACUGAAAAUUCAAUAAUCUCUGGGAGGCUGAGACAGGAGGAUUGCAAGUUCAAGCUCAGCCUGAGCAACUUAGCAAAACCCUGUCUCUAAAUAAAAAAUAAGAAAAAAGGGCUGGGGAUGUAGCUCAGAACAAAGGUCCUGGGCCAGGGAUUUAGCUCAGUAGCAAAGCACCUACCUGCCUUCCAAGUCCAAGGUCCUGAGUUCGAUCCCCAGUAUUGCAAAAAAAAAAAGAGCAAAGGUCCUGGGUUCAAUCCCCAGUACUGCCAAGAACAAAACAAAACCUAACAAGAAGUCCAAAUGUGCUGUAGUCCCUUGGUACCCCUCAUUAAUUGGUUCUAGGCGUAACGAGUACCAAACAAAUUGUUUUGACCAAGUACAGCACACCAGGACAAAAUUUUCAUAUCAAAAUGUGAGGAGUACCAAACUCAGUAAGUUUCAAAGUAGUAUGACUAGUACGGUAACUGGUGAGUUUCUAGCUGUAAAAGAAUGGAAUUUUCUGCUAAUAAAGCAGCUCAGUCCACAUCCUACUGCUGCACAUCUGGUGAACAAAGACCUACAGGAGAAGUGCUUCUCUAACUUUCCAAAUACUUUAUCACCUAAUUAUACUGUUUCAUUACAAUGUAUUUCAAUGCAAAGAAACUCCAUAUGCAACUACUAAAUAAAAUAUCAGAGUAACAUGAAA